GCAGAGAUGAUGCAAGCUGGCUGUCAGGCCUUUGGAAGGUGGGUGCUACCAUGGAGCUGAGCAUUACUCAGCGCUGGCUGAGUUAGCCAUCCAGAAAUAGAAAGAGAGCCUGCGGCAGAGCUGAGGAUUUACAAAACAGCCUGUUUCAAACUCGUGUGACUGGCACUUAUAUCUCAUCCACAAAUCUCUUCUGUUUUCCUGGAUUUUAAAUAAACCUUAUGCUGGUCACACUGACUUAUACAAAUGCAUUUGAGAGAAGAAAGAAUCAGGUGGGAAUGUGGACCACACUGAGUAAUCCGAGACACUCCUCAGAAAUGCAGUCUGUGCGGUACCUGGGAGCCUCAUUUCUCAGCUUGGGUGGAUUUGAAAUUCAUGAUUUCUGACCUCCUUCAAAGCCCUGCUGUCCGGCAAUGCCCAAAGGCUUGGCCACUUUCAGCCUGAUGGAUUUCAAAGCCAGGUCUCUGCAAUGAGUUCAGCAAUCUAUUCCUGAAGAAUUGAGUGGGGGCGAGAUGCCUGCCGGAGAAAGCCACAGAUUGCCUUUAAGGAUGUAAGCCGCCCAGCGAGAAAUUGUUUUUAGAGAGACUUCAAAUAGUUUCCGCUUGCGGAAUAUGGUUGAUCUUCAAUUUAUUUUCAUUCAGGGCAGAUGUGUCUACUUCAAAGCAUACCUACCCCAGAAAGACUCCAUAGCAACUGAAUUUGGGCUUAGAAAAAAAUUCAAUUUAAUCCAACACUGUUCACUGGAGCUUGAACUCCAAUGUGGGUGUAAUGUGAUGUACUUUAUUAUU